rnacentral:tRNA from 1 species
GCCUGGCUGGCUCAGUCAGUAGAGCAUGCGACUCUUGAUCUUGGGGUGGUAGGUUCAACCCCACGUUGGGUA